AGGUUCUUGUGACUGCAGAGAUGACGUGACAUUCGUGUGUUCAAAGGAUAUAGACCUGCGGCUAACUGGAUUUGAUUUAUAAGAGGGGAUUCUGCAGUAAAUGGCCGCUCUCUUCAUAUUGCUGCUAUGGAAAACAGAAUUGUCAAUAGGAUGUAGUCUGAUAAAUAGUGCUGAGUGAAGAUGCAGCUUCAAUAAGUGUGAAAUCAAUGGAAGAUACUUACCGCAUGAAAAGCCUUUUGAGAUUUUUCUGACAGGCUCCUAUUUAGGAAACUUGAUCUGUUUCCUU
rnacentral:lncRNA from 1 species